UUAAUGUCCAGGAGAGUGGCCCUCCGCAUGGAGGGUUGACUAGAGAUUUAUCGGUAUGGGAUAAGCUUGCGUCCGAUUAGCUAGUUGGCGGGGCAACGGCCCACAAGGCGACUAUCGGUAGCCGGCCUGAGAGGGUGAUCGGCCACAUUGGGACUGAGAUACGGCCCAGACUCCUACGGGAGGCAGCAGUAGGGAAUAUUGCACAAUGGGGGAAACCCUGAUGCAGCAACGCCACGUGUGGAAGAAGCAUUUCGGUGUGUAAACCACUGUCAUGAGGGAAUAAGGCCCGCCUCCGGGCGGGAUUGAAUGUACCUUGAGAGGAAGCACCGGCAAACUUCGUGCCAGCAGCCGCGGUAAUACGAGGGGUGCAAGCGUUGUUCGGAAUUACUGGGCGUAAAGGGAGCGUAGGCGGAGAUUCAAGCGGAUUGUACAAUCCCGGGGCCCAACCCCGGCUCUGCAGUCCGAACUGGAUCUCUUGGAUAGUUCAGGGGCAGGCGGAAUUCCUGGUGUAGCGGUGGAAUGCGUAGAGAUCAGGAAGAACACCGAUGGCGAAGGCAGCCUGCUGGGGACUUAUCGACGCUGAGGCUCGAAAGUGCGGGUAGCAAACAGGAUUAGAUACCCUGGUAGUCCGCACCGUAAACAAUGCAUACUGGGUGUCCGGGGGUUCCCCCGGGUACCGUAGCCAACGCGUUAAGUAUGCCGCCUGGGGAGUACGUACGCAAGUAUGAAACUCAAAGGAAUUGACGGGGGCCCGCACAAGCGGUGGAGCAGGUGGUUUAAUUCGAAGCAACGCGCGGAACCUUACCAGGGUUUGACAUGGAAACGCCGCGGCGAGAGAUAAUCACUAGU
rnacentral:rRNA from 1 species